GCCGCCUUAGCUCAGUCGGCAGAGCGAUUCACUCGUAAUGAAUAGGUCCGGAGUUCGAUUCUCCGAGGCGGCACAA
rnacentral:tRNA from 1 species